rnacentral:tRNA from 1 species
GGAGGUGUGCCUGAAAGUUAAGGAACUCCUUGAUAGGGAGAACCAUAGAGGUUAAAAUCCUCUCACCUCC